UUUAGACCAGGCUUCCUCAUUCUCAGCCCUCCAGAUGUUUUUGGCCUACAACUCCCUUGCUAGCAGAACCAGUGGUCAGGGAUGAUGGGAAUUGUAGUCUCAAAACAUCUGGAGGGCCGAGGUUGAGGAAGCCUGGUUUAGA